UUAAGUACUCCGCCUGAGUAGUACGUACGCAAGUAUGAAACUUAAAGGAAUUGACGGGAUCCCGCACAAGCGGUGGAUCAUGUUGUUUAAUUCGAAGAUACACGAAAAACCUUACCAGGUCUUGACAUAUUCUGCGAAGCUAUAGAAAUAUAGUAGAGGUUACCAGAAAUACAGGUGGUGCAUGGUUGUCGUCAGCUCGUGUCGUGAGAUGUUAGGUUAAGUUCUAAAACGAGCGCAACCCUUAUCGUUAGUUACCAGCAUGUUAUGAUGGGGACUUUAGCGAGACUGCCAAUGAAAAAUUGGAGGAAGGUGAGGAUUACGUCAAAUCAUCAUGCCCCUUAUGAUCUGGGCUACAAACGUGAUACAAUGGCUAUUACAAAGAGUAGCUGAAACGCGAGUUUUU
rnacentral:rRNA from 1 species